rnacentral:rRNA from 1 species
UACGUAGGGGGGCAAGCGUUUGUCCGGAUUUAUUGGGCGUAAAGAGCGUGUAGGCGGUCCGGUAAGUCCGCUGUGAAAGUCGGGGGCUCAACCCUCGAAUGCCGGUGGAUACUGUCGGGCUAGAGUGCGGAAGAGGCGAGUGGAAUUCCUGGUGUAGCGGUGAAAUGCGCAGAUAUCAGGAGGAACACCUAUUGCGAAGGCAGCUCGCUGGGACGUAACUGACGCUGAGACGCGAAAGCGUGGGGAGCAAACAGG